AACGAACGCUGGCGGCAGGCUUAAUACAUGCAAGUCGAACGCAUCCUUCGGGGUGAGUGGCAGACGGGUGAGUAACGCGUGGGAACGUGCCCUUCAGUUCGGGAUAACCCAGGGAAACUUGGGCUAAUACCGGAUACGUGCGAGAGCAGAAAGAUUUAUCGCUGAAGGAUCGGCCCGCGUCUGAUUAGCUAGUUGGUGGGGUAAUGGCCCACCAAGGCGACGAUCAGUAGCUGGUCUGAGAGGAUGAUCAGCCACAUUGGGACUGAGACACGGCCCAAACUCCUACGGGAGGCAGCAGUGGGGAAUAUUGGACAAUGGGCGCAAGCCUGAUCCAGCCAUGCCGCGUGAGUGAUGAAGGCCUUAGGGUUGUAAAGCUCUUUCGUCCGGUACGAUAAUGACGGUACCGGAAGAAGAAGCCCCGGCUAACUUCGUGCCAGCAGCCGCGGUAA
rnacentral:rRNA from 1 species